CCGGCGCACGGGUGAGUAACGCGUAUGCAACCUGCCCGGCACAGUGGGAUAAUCCGGAGAAAUCCGGUCUAAUACCGCAUGACGCGGGAAAGGCGCAUGCCUUUUCCGCCAAAGGAGGCGACUCCGGUGCCGGCUGGGCACGCGUGACAUUAGCUAGUUGGCGGGGCGACGGCCCACCAAGGCGACGAUGUCUAGGGGUUCUGAGAGGAAGGUCCCCCACACUGGUACUGAGACACGGACCAGACUCCUACGGGAGGCAGCAG
rnacentral:rRNA from 1 species